GUGUCUCCCCUGACAUGGAAUGCUGGGAGAGGCCCGUGGUAAGCUGACAGCUGCUUCAGUUUUGUCCAGAUUUGGGCAGGAAGGUUUGGGUCACCAGGUGGUACUAUUAAUAACUCUGGGUAAGCCUGUCCCCAGACUGGCUGGCAGCUUCCAUAAAGCCUGAGCCGAGGACCCAGAAAGUCUUCUCCAGCCCCUGAGACUUUUAAAUCCCAUGUUGUGAGACAAAAAAGAAAAGGUGGAGGUGACCCUGGGCUCUCGAAGGCUGUGCCAGUGUGUUCUGCCAACCGACAAAGGUUGAGGACAGGCUGCAUGACCCACUGCUGACAGAUGGGAAUGAUGAAAGAAGGAAAGGAUACAAAAUGCAUUAGCUUCUCUCUGGCCAGAAGUGGAAUCACAGAUAAUCACAGAAGAACCACAACAGAUGAUCCAACAGCAACAGAAAGACUUUUCAGUCAUUUUUAAGUCAUGCUCCACUCUUCAUGACGCCUUUUGUGGUUUUCUUGGCAAAGAUACUGGAAUGGGCCAUGUCCUUCUCCAGAUCAUUUUACAGAUGAGGAAACU